rnacentral:misc_RNA from 1 species
GUACAUUUUUACGUACACGUUGAAAGAAGUAUUUCUCUAUUAUUCAGAAAAAGAUAUUAGAUAAUAUAUUAUUAAAUAUUGCAUUAUAUUACCUCUAAGCCUUGCGUUCUCCUUCUCCAUUCGUAUAAGUAUCACCUGCUGAUUGAUAGCUUUCUUCCACAGAUCCCUUAAUUCUUGUUUCGUUCUGCGCGUCGGCGUCGCCUGCGGCGAUUUGAUGAUGUCAAUAUUUCCUGUUUUAUCGCUUUCUUUUUCGUGAUCUUUAUUGGGAGUUACAACUCGAUUCAAUAUAGCUUGUCUCCAUGAGCCAUUUGACUGUACCGAAUUGUUUCCAUCUGUCUCAGUUGGAGACAUUUUUGGUGAAUUUCCUACCUUCAGGAAUAUCCAUCAUAGAACUCUUUGGUCCAGUAUUUACAGUCAAUUGUUGUUCAGGUGAAACCCUUAAAGAUUUGGGUCUACUAGAAUCUGGUGAAAUAUCUGCCAUGGACGGCUGUCGCGACAUAUCGGGGCUUUGGCUACCGCUUUUUUGUAUCACAGUGUUGAGGUGGCUCAUAUCUUUUAAAUGUCCAAGUCCAAGGUCAUCCCGCGAACCCUUUCUCUUUAUGAGGUUAUCAAAACUAUUUGUAAGCGAGCGUUUCGCUUUCAUGAAUAUUGUGCUUCCAACACCUACGCCUAGGUAUUGAUUAAGAAAUUCACUCCUGAAACAUAUUAUAGAUUAGAUUGAAUUGUUAACAUAAAUAAAAGUUGUAUUUUUAAUAAACAUUUCAAAAAACUUUUUCUUAAAAGAAAUCUUACCUAUUCUCGGCUGUGUCAUGAACGUGCCUAGCCUGUUUCGUCUCGCAAUGAGCACGCAACAGUCUUAUUAAAAAUUGAUUUUGCUCGCGUAAAGAUGUCCCUGUACCGCCGGCGGCCUCAGCAUUUUUAUAUUUACUAACGACGAUUUCCUGCUCAUCCUCCGGCAGCAUUUCCAUCCGCGAAAAAAUUAUAUUCUGGGUCCUCCUGUCAUUCUGUCCUAAAACCCGCAGGAGAACAUGCUAACUUCUUACUCGUCCCAUAAUUUUGUUGGAAAUUAAAGGGAGACAAGACUUAAGUAUACUCGGAAAUUACCUUCGAUUUCCUGGCACAACUUGUUAUACCAAUACAUGGGGCAGUGUUCGCAUGAAAACACGGAAUAUCGGUCUUUUCUUGAAACUUCGCACGUUCCAACAAACGCCUGUGAAAUAGCUAGAAAAUACGUAUAUGAUUUUAAAUUAUUUGAUUUUAGUAAAUUGAUAUUUCAAUGUAUUUUUAUAUUGUUAAAUUAGAUGUACUUGAUUAGAAAUAAUGGAACUUCUACAUUAUUAGUUGUUUAUACAGGGUGUUCUAUUAGUGAUGGAAUCUGUCUUAUCUGAAAUCGACAUUGAAUAAUGAUUAAUGUAUUUAUUACCAAUGUUAGCCAAUAUAAAGUUUAAUUUCUUAUAUUAAUUAAUAAAAAAGAAGUGAGUUAUAUAUAUAUAUAUAUAUAUAUAUAGGAACUUUCUCCUUGCAAUGCCGGAUUUAUUUCAUUAUAGCAGAUGCCAUCAAUAAAGAAUAAGAAACUCGUUUUACCAGCGACAAGAUCAUCUGCAACGGAUUCCGAUUGGCACUUGAAUACGUAGCCAACAAAAAAAUCCACGUUAUUCUCUUUGCAAAUAAAACCGAAG